rnacentral:rRNA from 1 species
UACGGGGGAUACAAGCGUUAUCCGGAUUUAUUGGGUUUAAAGGGUGCGUAGGCUGUGAGGUAAGUCAGCGGUGAAAUGCCCCCGCUCAACGGGGUGAAGUGCCAUUGAUACUGCCUUGCUGGAAUGCGGAUGCCGUGGGAGGAAUGUGUGGUGUAGCGGUGAAAUGCAUAGAUAUCACACAGAACACCGAUUGCGAAGGCAUCUCACGAAUCCGCGAUUGACGCUGAUGCACGAAAGCGUGGGUAUCAAACAGG